CAAGUCGAGCGAACAUAGAUGUGGAAGUUUUCGGAUGGAAGCGUGUAUGACCGUAUCGGCGGACGGGUGAGUAACGCGUGGGUAACCUGCCUCAUACAGGGGGAUAACAGUUAGAAAUGACUGCUAAUACCGCAUAAGCGCACAGGACCGCAUGGUCCGGUGUGAAAAACUCCGGUGGUAUGAGAUGGACCCGCGUCUGAUUAGCUGGUUGGUGAGGUAACGGCCCACCAAGGCGACGAUCAGUAGCCGACCUGAGAGGGUGGCCGGCCACAUUGGGACUGAGACACGGCCCAAACUCCUACGGGAGGCAGCAGUGGGGAAUAUUGCACAAUGGGGGAAACCCUGAUGCAGCAACGCCGCGUGAGUGAAGAAGUAUUUCGGUAUGUAAAGCUCUAUCAGCAGGGAAGAGAAUGACGGUACCUGACUAAGAAGCCCCGACUAACUACGUGCCAGCAGCCGCGGUAAUACGUAGGGGGCAAGCGUUAUCCGGAUUUACUGGGUGUAAAGGGAGCGUAGACGGCUGUACAAGUCUGAAGUGAAAGCCCGUGGCUCAACCGCGGAACUGCUUUGGAAACUGUAAAGCUGGAGUACUGGAGAGGCAGGCGGAAUUCCUAGUGUAGCGGUGAAAUGCGUAGAUAUUAGGAGGAACACCAGUGGCGAAGGCGGCCUGCUGGACAGAAACUGACGUUGAGGCUCGAAAGCGUGGGGAGCAAACAGGAUUAGAUACCCUGGUAGUCCACGCGGUAAACGAUGAAUG
rnacentral:rRNA from 1 species